UACAGAGGGGGCAAGCGUUAUUCGGAAUUAUUGGGCGUAAAGGGCGCGUAGGCGGCCAUUCAAGUGACGGGUGAAAGCCCUCGGCUUAACCGAGGAACUGCCUGUCAGACUGGAUGGCUUGAGACCGGGAGAGGUGAGUGGAAUUCCCAGUGUAGCGGUGAAAUGCGUAGAUAUUGGGAGGAACACCAGUGGCGAAGGCGGCUGACUGGUCCGGUUCUGACGCUGAGGCGCGAAAGCGUGGGGAGCAAACAGG
rnacentral:rRNA from 1 species